GACGAACGCUGGCGGCGUGCUUAACACAUGCAAGUCGAGCGGACGUAGCAAUACGUUAGCGGCGGACGGGUGAGUAACGCGUGAGCAAUCUGCCUCUGUCAGCGGGAUAACACUUAGAAAUAGGUGCUAAUACCGCAUAAGACCACGAUCCGGCAUCGGAUCGGGGUAAAAGGUGAGCCGGACAGAGAUGAGCUCGCGUCCCAUUAGCUAGUUGGUGAGGUAACGGCCCACCAAGGCGACGAUGGGUAGCCGACCUGAGAGGGUAAUCGGCCACAUUGGAACUGAGAGACGGUCCAAACUCCUACGGGAGGCAGCAGUGGGGAAUAUUGGGCAAUGGAGGAAACUCUGACCCAGCAACGCCGCGUGAAGGAAGAAGGUUUUCGGAUUGUAAACUUCUGUCGCGAGAGAAGAAGAAUGACGGUAUCUCGUAAGAAAGCCCCGGCAAACUACGUGCCAGCAGCCGCCGUAAAAC
rnacentral:rRNA from 1 species